rnacentral:rRNA from 1 species
CAGUCGCCGCGGUAAUACGUAGGUGGCAAGCGUUGUCCGGAAUUAUUGGGCGUAAAGGGCUCGCAGGCGGUUUCUUAAGUCUGAUGUGAAAGCCCCCGGCUCAACCGGGGAGGGUCAUUGGAAACUGGGAAACUUGAGUGCAGAAGAGGAGAGUGGAAUUCCACGUGUAGCGGUGAAAUGCGUAGAGAUGUGGAGGAACACCAGUGGCGAAGCCGACUCUCUGGUCUGUAACUGACGCUGAGGAGCGAAAGCGUGGGGAGCGAACAGGAUUAGAUACCCCAGUAGUCCCUGUCUCUUAUAA